rnacentral:rRNA from 1 species
UACGGAAGGGGCAAGCGUUGUUCGGAAUCAUUGGGCGUAAAGGGCGCGUAGGUGGUUCUGUAUGUCUACCGUGAAAGCGUACGGCUCAACCGUAUUUUGUCGGUAGAAACUGCAGGACUUGAGGCUGGGAGGGGCUGGUGGAAUUCCCUGUGUAGCGGUGAAAUGCGUAGAGAUGGGGGAGAACACUCGUGGCGAAGGCGGCCAGCUAGACCAGUCCUGACACUGAGGCGCGACAGCGUGGGGAGCAAACAGG